UGGGGUUUCGCCUUGUUACAGUAAAACUUUAAGUUUUGUACAUUCAAUUUCUUUCGAGUUGCUGUUAUUUGUGUGGGUUUCGAUUUCGUUGUGCAAUAUUUGGUUAUAAUAUUUUACUUCCUUAGUGUGUAUGAUGUUAAUGGUUGUGUUAAUUUUGGAAGAAUUUGGUUUUGUUAGAUGUUACUUGUGAGGCACGUGGUUCGCCUGGGGUGUAAUUGUUGAUUAAUUUCGAGUUUUGGGGUAAGGCAUUGAAUGUCAAUUUUGGGAAUUGUUUGCUGAUUUGUGUUUGACGGAAAUCCUCGUUUUGGUGUUAAUAUUUUGUAUUAAUUGAUGAGUUGUUUGAUGAUUUUUUUAGGCUUAGGAAUUCUCGUUCGUGAAUCUAUAUCAAAUUUAAAUCCAGUGUGUGAUUUUAACCCAAAAUCAUCGCGAACAAUCUGAAAAAAGAAAUUCAGAAAAAUCAUCCAUUUGUUAUUUCCCUUUUAGUAAUUUUUUCUUAUUUUAUUUAAUUUCUCAUUACCAUGAGUUCUCCAAUUCGUCUAAGUGUAUAAAUAAAGAGAUUUAUUUAAUUCUAGUCAAGGAUCAUUAUAUUGAUGGAGGACAUGAUCACAUGCAUGAAUAUAUAAAUACAUAUAUGAUAAUGAUAUUGUUGAUGGCGAGCAAGGUUUUGUGAUGUUGGUCUAUGAUGAAGCCACGCAAAGAAAUUGGAAAUAAUUAUACAGACCAGAAAACUGGAAGUAAUUAAAAGUUUGUGGGGGGGGGGGGGAGGGUUUAUGCUAUUCAUAGAUACAUGCAUCGCAUUUUCAUGGUUGCUUAUAUAAUUAAAUGUAUUUAGUGCUUUCCCUUUUCAUUACCAUGAGUUCUCCAAUUCGUCUAAGUGUAUAAAUAAAGAGAUUUGUUUAAUUCUAGUCAAGGAUCACUGUAUUGAUGGAGAACGUGAUCACAUACACGAAUAUAUAAAUAUAUAUAUGAUAAUGAUAUUGUUGAUGGCAAGCAAAGUUUUGUGAUGUUGGUCGAUGAUGAAGCCACAUAAAGAAAUUGGAAAUAAUUAUACAUACUAGAAAACUGGAAGUAAUUAAAAGUUUGUUGGGGGUUUUGUGCUAUUCAUAGUUACAUGCAUUUCAUUUUCAUGGUUGCCUAUAUAAUUAAUUGUAUUUAGUGCUUUCCCUUUUCAUAUUUAUCAAGUCUGGUUACAAUUGAAUUUUUUUCCUUUAAGUUAUUGCCAGCUUUUCACUUUUAGAGACAAACAUUUACAAAUGAUUUUUUUAACUGGGAUUAAAGUUAAAUUAUUAGUUUUACUAUACAAUUCAAUAUUUAAUUUUCUUGCCUUAAUUUAUCUCUUUGAUUUAAAAAAAUUACAAUUUGGAAUAUGAUUAAUGUUAUUAUGUUCCGAAUAUGUAUUCCAUAUGAAUGUGAUGUCUGUUAAGAUAAUUUUGAGAGCAUGACUAUCUUGGUAGUAAACAUGCUUACAUCUGUACUCUGUAUAUGUGAUAAUAAGAUUACAUUUGUAUUUUGUAUAUUUGGUAAUGUGACACAUCCGCUUUCUGUAUAUCUGUUAACAUGAUUACAUGUAUUUGGGUUGGGGUAUGAUAUGAUGAAGGAAGUGCUGACAGAUAAUUUAACUGCCUGUUAAGUGGCUCAGCUACAUAUAUCUGAUUCUUGCAGUUUACUGGAUACUGUAUCUGGAAGCUUGUCUGCACUAUUAUUGUAAAGUGACAUAUGCUUACUUAUUGGUGUGUAGGGUUGGAUGAGUUGUAGAUACCCUAACUGGUGUGUUGGGUUAGACAGAGAUGGUGUGUAGCAGAUGGUGUAACAGCCCAAUUUUCAGUGGUGUCGGAAACAGUGAUUCAAGAUCACUAAAUUCAACGAGUGAGUUCAAAAUUUUUAUUAUUUAUGAGUUAAGUGUGAUUUUAGAAGGAUUUUUGAAUUAGUGAUUUGUGUUUUAAAAGAAUUUAUUAGGUUAAGUGGUUCCGAAAAUGAGGUAUCAAUACCUCAAUUUCAUAAACCAAGCCGUAAGAAUUUUUAAAAAUAUUUACAGAGUGUCAUUAAGUUAGUAUUAAGGUUAUGUUAGAAUAUUUUAACGUUUUGAUAGUUAAUUAAUUAAAAAGGAUUAAAUUAAAAAAGGUGCAAAACUUGCUAGAGUGAUAAAAUAGUCUAAAUGUUAAAUAAUGGAGGACUAAAAAGGUAAUUAGACGUAUUUAAAAAGGCUGAGGCAGCAUAAGUAGGAAAAAAACAAAGAAAUUAGGUGAUUAAGGGGCAAAAUGGGAAAUAAAAUAAAAAAAAUUAGAUAAAAAUGAGAUUUAAUAGAAAUCUAGACAAUUCUUCAUGAAUUUUCAGCCAAAAACGCCAUAGAAGAGUCCCCCUAAGCUGGUUUUUCGUAUUUUUGCUACAUGUGAGUUCAAUUCUUAUUCUUUUCUUGAAAUUUUCCUAUUUUUAAGACUUUUACAACUAGGUCCAACUAUCUAUUUCAUUAUUUUUUUUAUUUUGUGGGCAAUUUUGAAUGUUACGAUGGAUGAGUGCUGGAUGUUUAUGAUGAAUUAACAUAGAAUUGAAGCUUUAAUUUUGUUAUAUGAUGAUUUUAUUAAGUGAUUUCAAUAGAAAUUGAUUUUAGGACUAAAUUAUGAAGAACUAAAGAAAUAGGGUUUGCUAUUAAAUUUCUAUGUAUCAAAGGCUGUAAGAUAGCCUAGAAUAAUUAGAUAAAUUAUCAAUUUAGAAAAAUUAGCUCAAUUGACGGGAUAAUUGAUGAGGAACUAAAUUGCAAAAACUAUAAAAGUUGGGGUAAUUGUGUAAUUUUGAAAUUUGAAGGGUAUAAUUUGUGAAGUGGACUAAAAUUGAAAUAUAUGCUAAUGAAUGAAAAAUUUUACAUUCUAGAUCAAGAGCUUGUAGAUCAACGAGAAACGGGG
rnacentral:lncRNA from 1 species